GAGAGGAGCUUGGGAACGGUUGCUAGGGGUGGGUAAUGGGUAAAAAAAGGGGGGCGCCGGGGAGCGGAUAAGGAGGGUUAAGGGAGGGGGCGAGGGUGGGGAGCAAUGCAAAAGGUAAGGCCAGGUUACCGCGGCUCGGCCCCGAGUGGGCUGCGGCCGGGGGAGGGGCGAGAGAUACAUAUGUAUUUCUGUCUCCCUAGCACACCCCCUUCCCUCUAAGCGAUGGCUGAGAGGCGGUGCAUGCAGAUGGGGAGUAAGUUUCCUGAAGGGGAGGGUGGAUGCACGCGCGCGGCCCCGCGCUGCAAAUUUCCACCGGGGAGGGAGAGUGGCUGGAUGCGGAGAGUUUGGAGUUGCUUGCAGCGGAGGGCAGGAAGGGGAGCAGGGCCGGGAAAGGGGGCUGGCGGGCGCUAUAUCUGGGAGUAAGUUUCCAGGAACGGGAGAGCCUGCACGCUUGCUCGCUACUCUGCUCGCCCCUCAUCUCACCCCCCAGGCGAAGACUGGUCUUCUUGUCGGAUUGCCCAUGCACUUGUUGCAGAAACAGCCAAGCCUCUUCAGACGUCUGCGUGGUUGAGAUGAGAGGACUUAGGCCAGAAGGAGGGCCACGUGGUUGCCCCUGUAUGUUGACCUCGUCCUUCGCAUCGCCCCGCAGGUACAGAACCAGGCCUCCUCUCCCCACCUGCCCAGCAGCAUGAGAGCAGCAUGACUGGCCGGCCACAGGAGAAGCCCCCAGAGCCAGGCCCCCAUCUCAACCAGCUGCUGCAGAAGUCAAGGUAAGCUUGUUCCCCUUCUCCUGGAAGGGGUGGGCAUUUUUCAUUUGAACUAAUGUGCUAUGAUUUUAUAAUCAUUUGCCAUGUACUGGAAGAAUAGUGUUUACUGGGAUAUGGGUAGCCUGAAAAGGUGCAUGUCAGCCUAAUGGGGCAAAAUGUCUUUGUUUCGGUUAUUGGAGAAGCCAGUGAUGAAGCAGAAAGGACAUGGAAUUGAGUUUCUGGGGACUGAAGCUGUCAUUAUUCCUCCACCACCUUCUGAAUCUGGGACUUUGGACAGGUCUUUUAGGGAUCAGGUAUAUUGGGCUUCCCUGGUGGCUCCGUGGUAAAGAAUCUGCCUGCUAACUGAGGAGACUCAAGUUCGAUCCCUGGGUCAGGAAGAUACCCUGGAGGGGAGCAUGGCAACCCACUCUAGGACUCUUGCCUGGGAAAUCCCAUGGACAGAGGCGCCUGGUGGCUACAGCCUAUNNNNNNNNNNNNNNNNNNNNNNNNNNNNNNNNNNNNNNNNNNNNNNNNNNNNNNNNNNNNNNNNNNNNNNNNNNNNNNNNNNNNNNNNNNNNNNNNNNNAGAGGCGCCUGGUGGCUACAGCCUAUGGGAUCAUAGGAGUGGGGUAUGACUAAGUGACUAAUCAAAAACAGCAUCCGGGACUCUGCGGGUGAAGGAAUCUCUGGAAUAGGAUAGAAUUGGGUGGAUGGCCUGGGACUCACAGAAUGCCAUAAACAGAGUCUCCUUUCCCACGCAGGGUUGUAAGGGGCCUUCAAAGGAUCAACCAGGUCAAUUCUUGGCCAGUGUUGAGCAGUGAAUUGUUAGAAAAUUCCUACUAAUGUUGGUACAAAUACUUCCUCUCUGCAGUUUCUGUUUUUUCUCCUCUGCUCUGCCACGUGGAGCCACAAAGACUGGGCUUUCAAAGACUCUUGCACGUGAGCCUCUUUGAAUUUGAUGAGGACUGUCAUAACUCUGCUUUUCUUAAAGAGAAAAUUCUCUGUGGAGACGGGUGCCACUCACCUGGUUCUCUUGUCCCCUCCAUGCUGGAAGGGUCUUAAUCUCCUCAAGUUUGGUCCUGCCAGUUGCCCACCUGACCUGUAUCUUCCUCAACACAGACUCCAUUCACCAUUAAUUCUUCAGGACAUACUAAGUUCCCCCUUUGUGACAGUCACUGAACUAGACCCUGCAGAUACAUCAGUUCAGUUCAGUCGCUCAGUCGUGUCCAACUCUUUGCGACCCC
rnacentral:lncRNA from 1 species